GACGAACGCUGGCGGCGUGCUUAACACAUGCAAGUCGAACGGAAAGGCCCUGCUUUUGUGGGGUGCUCGAGUGGCGAACGGGUGAGUAACACGUGAGUAACCUGCCCUUGACUUUGGGAUAACUUCAGGAAACUGGGGCUAAUACCGGAUAGGAGCUCCUGCUGCAUGGUGGGGGUUGGAAAGUUUCGGCGGUUGGGGAUGGACUCGCGGCUUAUCAGCUUGUUGGUGGGGUAGUGGCUUACCAAGGCUUUGACGGGUAGCCGGCCUGAGAGGGUGACCGGCCACAUUGGGACGGGGAAGCGACCCAGACCCCAGCGGGAGGCAAGAGUGGGAAAUAUGGAAAAAGGGGCGGAAGCCUGAUGGAGCAACCCCGGGUGGGGGAUACCGGCCUUCGGGUGAUAAACCGCUUUCGCCUGGCGCGAAGCGGAAGGAGCGGUAAUGGAUAAAGAAGCACGGGCAAACUCAGG
rnacentral:rRNA from 1 species